CCUACGGGGGGCUGCAGUGGGGAAUAUUGGACAAUGGGGGGAACCCUGAUCCAGCCAUGCCGCGUGUGUGAAGAAGGCCCUCGGGUUGUAAAGCACUUUCAGUGAGGAAGAACGCCUGGUGGUUAAUACCCAUCAGGAAAGACAUCACUCACAGAAGAAGCACCGGCUAACUCCGUGCCAGCAGCCGCGGUAAUACGGAGGGUGCGAGCGUUAAUCGGAAUUACUGGGCGUAAAGCGCGCGUAGGUGGCUUGAUAAGCCGGUUGUGAAAGCCCCGGGCUCAACCUGGGAACGGCAUCCGGAACUGUCAAGCUAGAGUGCAGGAGAGGAAGGUAGAAUUCCCGGUGUAGUGGUGAAAUGCGUAGAGAUCGGGAGGAAUACCAGUGGCGAAGGCGGCCUUCUGGACUGACACUGACACUGAGGUGCGAAAGCGUGGGUAGCAAACAGGAUUAGAUACCCGUGUAGUC
rnacentral:rRNA from 1 species